CUCACCUGCACAUGAAGCAGCUGUGAGGGCAGCAGGUGAUCCUGCAGCUUCACUGAUUCAUGCUGAGGAGCAAACAGGAAGUCUGAUUGUUCCUCAGCUGUGAUGUUUACGGGCCGCUUCACUGGAUAAUGGUGCGACUUCAUCCCACAGCAGAGGACAGGUCGUACACUCGGUGACCUGACAGGAAGUCCUCCCACUCUGUCACUUUCAGCAGAUAGCACAGGAGUGAUCCGUCUCCUUCAUGGAGCUGCUCGGUGAAAGCAUCGUCUUUGAGAUUGGACCGAAUCGUUCCCCUUGACCCGCCCCCCCACAAACCUCUGGACCCCUACGGCCCCUUCUGUGGUCGCCAGGAUCCCAGACCCACAUGAGUCACUGUGACUGAGGCUGCCCGACUCUGGGCUCUCCACUACAGAGGGCGACGGUCAUUCAGGAGAAGCUCAGAGCAGAGCUGCUGCUCCUCCACAUCAAAAGAGUCAACGUUCAGGAUCUGAGUGUUUCAUGAAUGUUCUGCUGUGAAGAUUAGAUCCCUCACUGGCUCUGGGACACCUCGAUGGAGCUGAACAGCAGGACAAGUCACAGGAAUUAUUAGAAGAAAAGGGUUUUCCUUUAUUUAACCCAAGAAGUUAUAUUUAAAAAAUAACAAAUGUCAGGCUCAUAAAAGAAACAAGGAUCAGUCACAAAUACAUAAGUAAACUAAAUGUGUGCGCCUACAAAUCAAUACACCUGCUGCAAACUAAAGUGUGUGAUUGUGUACAUGAGAGUUACAGAGUGUAGAGUGUGGACACGGGUUUGACCGGCACAUGGAGGUGAGUCUGGAGCAGGUCUUUGAGCAGAGGCUGGACGGACAGACGGGCGGAUGUUUGAUGGAGCAGUCAGGUAAAUGGAUGGUGGUUGGAUGACGGUCCCUAGCAGACUGUGGUCACGAGCUGUGACCUCAGCGCCCACAGUGCAGUGUGCUUGUGUGGGCAGCAGCAGCUGUGAUGUCGUCGGUGAGCUUGGCUUUCAGAUUGUGUGAAAGUAAAAGUGGAGCAUCUGGAACAUCUGGGCGCACGUUUAACCCCGCUCUGCUCUGAAGCCUGAGCAGGAAGCGGGGUCCAUCUCUCUGAGCUGUGGCUUAAAUUCUGUUGUUGUCGUGUUUAACUAUGGCACCGGGGCAGGAGGAGGAAACCACGUCCACAAGUGCAGCUUCUCUGCAGAAUCACUUUCACUGUGUCGAGUCCAUUUACAUAAUAAUGUGAGGGACCAUGAGAGUGCAGCACAGGUGCUGCACAGGUGCUGCACAGGUGUGACUGAUUUCCCUCAGUGAUGCAUGCAGGAGAAGAAGACAUCAUCAUCGGACUGUCGGAGCCUCAGAGGAUGAAAAUGUGCAGAAAUCUCGCAGAGCUGUUCGUUUCUAACAGAAGCAAUAAAAAUCCC
ensembl:lncRNA